UACGUAGGGUGCAAGCGUUGUCCGGAAUUAUUGGGCGUAAAGAGCUCGUAGGCGGUUUGUCGCGUCUGCUGUGAAAACGCGAGGCUCAACCUCGCGCCUGCAGUGGGUACGGGCAGACUAGAGUGCGGUAGGGGAGAUUGGAAUUUCUGGUGUAGCGGUGGAAUGCGCAGAUAUCAGGAGGAACACCGAUGGCGAAGGCAGAUCUCUGGGCCGUAACUGACGCUGAGGAGCGAAAGCGUGGGGAGCAAACAGG
rnacentral:rRNA from 1 species